CAUUUAAAAAUCACCAUAUGCACAGUAAGUUGCAGUUAGUAAUUAAAUUCUCACAUCUUUUCACAGCACCAGGCAGAGCAUAUUGGCUUAGUGUGGCCUGGUUGUCGAGUCUGAACCAAAAUGAUUUCUAACAGCAAUCAAAUACAUUUUGAGACAUGUUCAUAAAAACGCUAGCUCAGAGGCUCAAAGCAAUAAUGAUUCAUGUAUUAGCAAAUGAACCUGUCCUCUGCAAGCUAGCCCUGAAAUGUAAUAAGGGAUUGGUCCAAGGUAAGAAGAAAGUAUUUAUGGAGAUGCUGAGAGGUAAUAUUUUGUAAUGGGAGUUUUGGGUGACGUCUAUUCCUCAUCAGUGGAAUAGUUCUGGAUUGAGGUGUUGGAUCGGUCUCUGGAAGCCCUGUUCCAUCAUGGAUGCCUUGAUGAAAUCUGUAUCCACUGAGGGAUGUAGGAAAUGCAAUGGCCAGCAGUCUCCCUGUCACUCAGCAGUACCAGGAGAGGUUCUUCGGUCAGCACACAAACAAGGCUGGGAUGCAGGAAAGCAACUGAAAGCAGCCGUCCCAUCACCUCCUCUAAGGCAGUGCCACCAGCUGGGUGUGUGGGGACCCUAAGCAGCUUUCAGACAAAUAACCCAAAGACCUUCUGCUACAACUUCUGGGCAUGUCCAGAAGGGAUCAGGAACAGCAGAAAACCAACCAACCAACUUCCCCUGGGCCUGAGGUGUUCCCCGGGCUGGGCCUGCCCCCAUGAGUUCCUGUGCUCUGAAAGGGCCAGCAGCAGGGAGAAAACAACACAAGGGAAGCAGCCUAGAGAGAGAAUUGAUAAUGAUUCAGGUGCUUUAAUGGAGGCAGAAAAACCUUUUAAAAUAAGUACUUAUGCAGAAUCUCCAUUCUGUGAAUCAGAAAUGACACUUCAUUUUAUCCCACUGGUUUUAAUUCGUUGCUGGAGGCCGUUCAGCUAACCAGCAUGUAGCAAAUCAAGGGAUGAAGGGACCAGAGCACAGCUUCCAGGCUUCAGAGCUGUGCCCCUUCCAAGCACGAGGCACAAAAGCUGCUGAUCUGCUCCUGAGGAGCAGCUGUGACUGCACCACACCCUGCAGCUGCCGCCAUUUUCAAAAUCAAUUGCUCUCAGCUGGGCUGCCCAGGGCUGUAGGAGAGGCUGAAGCACAGGAGCACACCUCCUAGGGAGCACUCUGUGGCUGAAAAACCCACUUGAGAGCUCUUUCCUCACUCCGGAGGUGCCUUCUGAGCACGCAGCAAGGCAUUGUACUGAUUUCAUCCCACCACAGGUGAGCUUCUAGCAGGUGGGGGUUGGGGCUGCGUGAGGGAGGGCUCGUUGUGGUGGCCGCCAUGUUGCAGCACUGUUACCUCACAGGGAGUGAGGUUCUGGGUGCAGCUGCUGAAGAAGCUUCUGGAAGGAGAGUGAGAGGCAGCAGGAAGGAGGCUUCUCCUAAGGGGCUGGGAGGAGAAACACACACAGCCUGAAGGGAACUGAGCCUCUCUUUCUGCCUCAUGGCUGGCUUGUGUCUCUUAGACGGAGAUGCCGCUGUCAGGGUUCAGCCCACGGGAGUGUCGUACAGCCGCAAACAAGAGGAUGGACUCAAAGCGUCACUGCGCAGUGCGGCCACUGAGACUGUGGGGUGAAAGUGCGCUGGAUUGGAGAUGCUGGGAGAAAGCACAAGCAAUCCUUCAAGAUGAGAUAAGAGGGAUGGCAGUAACAGAAGAGCACAGCUGAAUCUCAAGAUCUCAAGCAAGGAUAGCAAGAGUCUGAGCAUUUAAAUAUGCCUUGGCCAUGCUGGAGCAUUCCAAGCAGUGUGUUCUUUGAGUUUGAUAACAUCUACAACUGGAAGAGCAGUGUUAAGGAACAAAGAAGGCCGUGACUGUUCCCGGGCAGCAGCUGGAGUGUGCAGGUAAGCGUGGCUGCAGCCAGCAGGGAUGGAAGCAUGCCCAGCGAAAGAGGACCAGCCUGAAAGUAAGUCUGAAAUAUAUUUAAGCAAAUCCUUGGGAAUUUUCCUCACUUUUUCAAAAAUACUAUCAAGAUUUGCCCUUCUUCUGAGGCUCUAGUUCAACGUUCUUACUGCACAUCACUCACCUGUACAAGGACAAAUCAGUCUUUCCACAGAGAACAGGUUCCCAGGUGCUGUGCUGUAGCCUGGAUGCUGAGCUCAGUGGGGCUCUGCUGAUUUCCACCGUUUUCCAGCACUAUUUAAACAGGGUGUCUCCAGUAGAGCACCUCCAAGGGUAUUUUCACAUGAGAACACCCCUUUCCCAGCGAACUAUCAGGGGGUAGCAUGAAUUAUUUUAAUGGCUACAUCACUUCAGCCAAAGCCUCCACCAUCUGCUAUAUGUUCUAAUUACAAAUGCAGAAAACACAAUUCGCAAUCAAAUCACAUUCAAAACAAAAAGAAAGAAAGAAAAUGAGCAAUUAAAAUGCACAUUCUGCCAGGCAAAUCCACCUCCUCAGCCAGUGCAUCCACCACAUCACUCGCCUGUUACAGACAGGGGCUGAAUUAGUCCCAGGCCAUUGGAGACUUCAGUCCUGCUGGUUUCCCUGACAGCAGCUUCCAGGCUUGAUCUUCUCAUCUUCCAGGGAUGCUGUGCAGCUCCAGCCUGCUGUUGUAUUUGUUGGUGUCUUGCUAACCCUCGGGGCGAUUUUUUUUCUGAGCGAUCAGUUUACUUUUCCAACAUUUAGACAUACCUUGUUGUUUCCUGCGCCCUGCCUCUUCUGGGGUUCUCACAGCUUAUGUGUCAAGAAAAACUUGAGUGUUUCAGAGCGAUAUGCAGGGAUUGAUGGUGACACAUUUGCCAGAAAACACCCCAGGCUGAAUUCAGCUUUGGUGCAGUGCUACUGCACUUAGCAAACUUAUCAUCCUCUCUGUAACAUUCAUUUUGAAAUGUGCGUUAACAUUCAGGCAUCGUUUAUACUCUGUAAGUAAUCCAACCCUACAGAGGGCUUUUCUCACAUGUUCAAAACUCAGAAGUCUGCUGGAAACACAGCCAUUAGGAAGGGCUGGAGCCUGGAGGGGUGCAUGGAGAGGGAGGCUUUCCUGGGAGCUGGGGAAGCAUGUGGCUGCUGUGCUUUGCCCCACGAGAUGGAGGACAGACAGCUCCGCCUGACAGACGCUGAUGGUUUUAGGCAGCCCAAAAGCACAUUGCGUCCAGCCCCGGGGAUCAGGGUCAGCACCCUGCGGCAGCUCAGAGCAGAGGGAAGAAACUUUUCCUGGCUAAUUCAAAGGAAAACUUUGCUCGAGGGAUUCAGAGCUCUGCCUCAGAAGCGCCUGCAGUCCCUUUUCAUACAGCACACUCCCACUCCUGUGUGGGUGGAGGAAAACUCCUCUGAGGCAGCGCUGCAGUCUCCCUCUGAUCUUCCUUUCCGCCUGUCCCUGCUCACAGCCUUUAAAGUCCCUCUUUGUGGCAAUAGCAGGUUCCAUGCUGGAGCUCAGGGGACGCUCAGCGGGCCGUUCCUGCUGUCCCCUGCCCAUAGCAGUGCUGUACAGCACAGCCAGCAUUCAGGGCAGCACUGAGGGCCUCAUGUACAUGCAGCUGACUCCUAUUGCAUCUUUUUGUCUUGAAAGUGUAUAUCAUCUUACCACAGGUUAAGAGCUCACAGCUAAACCUGACCCUACCUGCUCGGUGUCGGCACUCAGAGGCAAACACACAAAAGCUAAUUUUCACAUCUUCUGGUGCUUCAUUUGUAAAUCAUUUCUCAUUUUCCCUCCAAAUGCCUGCUCUGGUAACCUGCUUCUCAGAGCUGCUCUCUGAGAUCCUCACUGGCGAGGAGAGCACAAGGCGCCGAUACACCUCGGAAACGUUUCAAGGCUUCACAACAGCUUUACAAUAUCUCGCAGCAAAGGGGCAGAUGGGAUUCUGGAUUGAUCAAUACCCUAAGUAGAGGCAAGUGCCGGAUCACUGAUCUGAGCUGAAAGAAUAAAUGGUGAAUCAAAGGAAUACACAAGCACCGUCACUUCAGUAAGGCAAUAGCGGUGCCGUGUUCUGUGAGCUCUCUGCUUCCUGGAAUUGUGAGGUUCCUGUACCAUGAGCUCAGCAUGUUCCAGCAGGGAGGCAUUUCUCUCCCUGCACGAGCCCAGCUGCUGGGCCUAAGGAGCAGCCCCAGUCCUGCUUGUUGGUGGUAUUUUGUUUAAGCUAUUUGGGGAUUAUAAAAGCCAAACAAAGGAUGUGCAACAAGUUAUAAAUUCUAAGGAGAUCUUUCUAAGUGCCCAGCGGCAGCUGAACUGUACUUAUGGUUAUUGUGCAGAGACAGACAUAAAACUAUAAUGUGGAUCAACAUGUUUUAUCACAGUCAUUCGACAACACGCCGAGUCCAUGCAGUUUAGCUAUUACCUUUCUACAGCUCAGAAAGAUUUGCCAUAGUUUCAGCUUAAUCUGGAAUUUUAUUAUGUAGUUAUUUUAAUCUCACUUUGAUAAUGGCACUCCAAACACCAAUAAAACAAAGGAAGAUUGUAUUUAGAUACAGCAAUGAUGAAUAACGUUAGAAACACCUGAAGCUGAAACAGAAUCCAGCUGUCUGUUCUGUUUUGCUAUACUCCGUGGAAACCACCAAGAGAGCCUUUAUCAUGGAAUCAUAGAAUGCCCUGGGUUGAAAAGGACCUCAGAGAUCAUCGGGUUUCAACACCCCCACUGAGUGCAGAGUCGCCAACCACUAGACCAGGCUGCCC